UGGACAGAUUAUUGUAUUUGACUGUAUUCACGGCGUGAAAUAGGGGAUUACACUGUUUUUAAAACGGAAAGUUAAUCAAUUAACAUAAUAGACUCUU
rnacentral:pre_miRNA from 1 species